rnacentral:rRNA from 1 species
AUUGAACGCUGGCGGCAGGCCUAACACAUGCAAGUCGAGCGAGCGGCGGACGGGUGAGUAAUGUAUGGGGACUGCCCGAUAGAGGGGGAUAACUACUGUAAACGGUGGCUAAUACCGCAUACUAUCGGAUAACCCAUAUGGGAUUAGCUAGUAGGUGGGGGAAAGGCACACUUAGGCGACGAUCUCUAGCUGGUCUUAGAGGAUGAUCAGCCACAAUGGGACUGGGACACGGCCCAGACUCCUACGGAGGCAGCAGUGGGGAAUAUUGCACAAUGGACGCAAGCCUAAUGCAGCCAUGCCGCGUGUAUUGAGAAGGCCUUAGGGUUGUAAAGUACUUUCAGCAGGGAGGCGUUACCCGAAGAAGAAGCACCGGAUAACUCCGUGCCAGCAGCCGCGGUAAUUG